UUGCGGACAGCAAUUUAAUGGGAAGGGAGGAUAAAGAUUUUGCUGCCAAGGAGCAAUGCGUUGCAUCUAUCUUUAGUUUGGCUCUGGAAUGUACCCCAAAUUCACCUCAGCAGAGGAUCAAUAUGGAAGAUGCAGUUACUCGACUGAAGAAAAUCAAAUUCAGGCUCCUAGCAAAUAUAAAGAUGACCUGAAAGUGUUAGCAAGUAUAUGGUUCUAUCAACAUAUUUUGUUUAUUGAUUUUUAUGCAUCAGCAACCAGUAAUGAAUGUUUUAAUAUAGUACUGAUGAUGAUCUAGUCUCGUCUAGUAUUGUCUUAUACAUUACUUUUAGAGAUUAUUAUGAGGUUAGGGAUUGAACCAUCUCUCUUGUACUAUUGAGUCAAGAGUCUAGUAGUUGUGACAUCCUUUGUGAGUACCAACUCACUAUGCAGCCAUGGAUAAAAAAAU
rnacentral:misc_RNA from 1 species